AUUGAACGCUGGCGGCAUGCUUUACACAUGCAAGUCGAACGGUAACAGGCCGCAAGGUGCUGACGAGUGGCGAACGGGUGAGUAAUGCAUCGGAACGUGCCCAGCCGUGGGGGAUAACUACUCGAAAGAGUAGCUAAUACCGCAUACGAUCUAUGGAUGAAAGCGGGGGACCGUAAGGCCUCGCGCGAUUGGAGCGGCCGAUGUCAGAUUAGGUAGUUGGUGGGGUAAAGGCUCACCAAGCCAACGAUCUGUAGCUGGUCUGAGAGGACGGCCAGCCACACUGGGACUGAGACACGGCCCAGACUCCUACGGGAGGCAGCAGUGGGGAAUUUUGGACAAUGGGCGCAAGCCUGAUCCAGCAAUGCCGCGUGCAGGAAGUAGGCCUUCGGGUUGUAAACUGCUUUUGUACGGAACGAAACGGCUCUGGUUAAUACCCGGGGCUAAUGACGGUACCGUAAGAAUAAGCACCGGCUAACUACGUG
rnacentral:rRNA from 1 species